GAAGGCUGAGGAGGGAGACACUGCAGCCACCGCCAGUAGAAGCAGCAUGUAAAGACGCCGGAGCUACAGUAACCAUAAGACCUGUUUCAGUGAUUGGCAGUCAGAAGAUGGAACUUCCUCCCCAGGAAGGUGGAGCAAUAUGGGCUGAGUGGAUAAAACUGGCAUGAAGGACUGGGCAGCGGGGUCUCACACACACCAGGCAAGGAUUCUGUCGAAGAACUAGACAUCUGGCUCUACUAAUAGCUUUUAAGCACUUGCAGGAACCCAAGCAGAAUGCUUUAAUAAAUGUCUG